rnacentral:rRNA from 1 species
GAUGAACGCUGGCGGCGUGCCUUACACAUGCAAGUCGAACGGCAGCACGGGGCAACCUGGUGGCGAGUGGCGAACGGGUGAGUAAUGCAUCGGAACGUACCUUUCAGUGGGGGAUAACGUAGCGAAAGUUACGCUAAUACCGCAUAUUCUGUGAGCAGGAAAGCAGGGGAUCGCAAGACCUUGCGCUGAUUGAGCGGCCGAUGUCAGAUUAGCUAGUUGGUGAGGUAAAGGCUCACCAAGGCGACGAUCUGUAGCGGGUCUGAGAGGAUGAUCCGCCACACUGGAACUGGGACACGGUCCAGACUCCUACGGGAGGCAGCAGUGGGGAAUUUUGGACAAUGGGGGCAACCCUGAUCCAGCCAUGCCGCGUGAGUGAAGAAGGCCUUCGGGUUGUAAAGCUCUUUCGGCCGGGAAGAAAUCGCACGGGCUAAUACCCUGUGUGGAUGACGGUACCGGAAUAAGAAGCACCGGCUAACUACGUGCCAGCCGCCGCCGUAA